CACGUGGCCGGCCUUCUCUGCCUCCAGGGUCUGCUUCACCAUCUCUUGGAUCUGUAGCUGGGCUGCUGCCCAUGCCUCGGACCUGGCCUUCGCCUUGGCCUCCUCCAGCCUGGGAGAGAGACGUGAAAACCAGACACGUAGUCCAGACGUUCCUGCAGCGCCUCUUUGACCUUCCUCCUGAGCUCGUCUUCAUCCACUGAGGAUAACAAAGAGGACAUCAUCAUCAGCCAGGGCAUUCGAUUAAAUAAGAGUCCACAGGGUUAUGGGGCUAGUGACAUCCUAUCUUAAUUUAACAUGGAGUCUUUGAUGGAUACCACUACUGUGGUGUGCCUGUCGGGAAACAAGAUGGCUUCCACCAGCAAUGGCAACCUCCAAAAAGUAAACAUUGCGUAACUCAAACAUAACUCUACAACUCCCACAAAAAAAAUGUGCUACAAUUUUUUUGCAGAACCAUGUACAAUAUCAGUAAAGAUGCAAAUGCGUUACAUGAAACAAAAGCUGUGUGGUAAUUGUUUGAAUUGGUUUGUGUGUGUGUGUGCAUUGGAUGUUGAAUGUAUAAAUAUAACAAGCCUGUUCAGUAUAGAUGUUGAGGAAUGCAAGGCAGCCUUCACAGGGCCCGUGUCGAAACCAACAUGAUUUUUGCUGCAUUGUUGCUACCUUACACAGGUUUGUGAUACAAAAUAAAGAAAGAGAGACGCACCUGUGACAUCAGGCACAGGUUGCGGGCGCAAGAUGAAUACAGGAAACAGAUCCUCAGUAGCAGGAAGGGAAGUUGAGCUCUGGACUUCGGCCUCAGCGUCUUGCGGGGGCGGCUCCAUGUCUAUGGGCUCCGUUGGGGGUUCUGCUGCCGCCGAUUCAUAGGUUGAGAGAGAAACCUCCAUGGAGUGACGGGGUUGGGGUAAAUCUGCAGGGGUUGGAGGCUCGGAGACUGCCGUCUGAGACACCACACAGUGCUCGAUAUCGAUGAAAGCGGGGCUUGGAGGAGCAACAGAUUCAAAGGACAGAACUGGAACAGCAGUGAUGUUGUCUUCCACAGAUGGAGCGACGCUGGUGGUAACGAGGAUGGCUUCAGAAGGCUUGGGGGGAGAAGUCACCACUUCAACUGGAGCCGGGAGGAGAAUGGGAGGUACAUUGAGAGUAGGUUCUGCCACUGGAGUAGCACAUGGGGUCUCCUGUUGCUCUUCGACUAUGGCGCACUGUUGCAAUGUUUGGGGAUGAGGUGGAGAGGGAGUAGUGACUUCAGCCUCAGUAGGGAGUGGAGGUUCAACUGGAGCAGAGAGGAGAACCUUGGGUUCCACCAAGAUCGGAAGAGCUGUUUCAGUUUGGGGAGAGGGUAUAGAUUCAACUAUAGGUUCCACCCAAGUAGGAAGAGCCAUUUCAGUUUGGGGUGAGGAUAUAGAUUCAACUAUAGGUUCCACCAAUGUAGGAAGAGCUGUUUCAAUUAAAGUAGGUGGAACAGAUUCGACUACCGGUUCCACCAAGGUAGGAAGAGCUGUUUCAGUUUGGGGAGAGGGUAUAGAUUCAACUAUAGGUUCCACCAACGUAGGAAGAGCCAUUUCAGUUUGGGGAGAGGAUAUAGCUUCAACUAUAGGUUCCACCAAUGUAGGAAGAGCUGUUUCAAUUAAAGUAGGUGGUACAGAUUCGACUACCGGUUCCACCAAGGUAGGAAGAGCCACUACGGUUUGAGGAGGGACUAUAGAUUUGACUACAGGUUCAAUCCCCAUAGGAAGAGCGGUUUCAGUUUGAGGAGUAGGCACAGGUUGGGCUAUAGGUUCCACCAAGGGAGGGAGAGCCACUUCAGUUUGGGGAGGCACUAUAGAUUGAACUAUAGGUUCCUUCAAGAGAGGAAGGGCUGUCUCAGUUUGAGGAGGAGGUACCAAUUGGACUAUGGGUUCCACCAACGUAGGAAGCACCAUUUCAGUUUGGGGAAAAGGUAUGGAUUGGACUUUUGGUUCCACCAAGGUUGGAAGAGCCGUUUCAGUUGGAGGAGGCACUAUAGAUUGGACUAUGGGUUCCACCAAUGUAGGAAGAGUUGUUUCGGUUUGAGGAGGAGGUAAAGAUUGGACUGUGGAUUCCACCAAUGUUGGAAGAGAUGUUUCAGUUUGAGGAGGAGGUACAGAUUGAACAAUGGGUUCCACCAACGCAGGAGAAGCCAUUUCAAUUUGAAGAGGGGGUACAUAUUCGACUGUAGGUUCCACCAAGGUAGGAAGAGCUGUUUCAGUUUGAGGAGGAGAUAAAGAUUGGAUUAUAGUUUCCACCAGGGUAGGAGGAGCCACUAAGGUUUGAGGAGGCACUGUAGGUUCCACUAUGGUUGGAAGAGAUGUUUCAGUUUGGGGAGGAGGUACAGAUUGGGUGAUGGGUUCCACUAAUGUGGGAAGAACCAUUUCAGGUUCAGAAAGCGGUUUAGAUGUUGCCUCGGGUUCGGGGACAGGGGAGGUCAUCGUUAUGGCAACAGGCUCCGUCAUGGU